AUACUGUUAGACGGAUAGCUUGGUUUUGGUUCUUUUAAGACGUGGCAAGCUGCGAUAAGCUUAGGGGAGUUGCAUGCAAGCUUUGAUCCUAAGAUUUCUUAACAUGUAGAGAUACAUAAUUACGUCGUGAAUUGAAACAUCUUAGUAACGACAGGAAAAGAAAAUAAAUAAUUAUUCCCUUAUUAGCAGCGAGCGAAAAGGGAACAGGGCAAACUGAAUCUGUUUUUGAAAAAAAAUUAGAAAUGUGGUGAAGAUAAGUAACUAAGUUAAUAAAUCAAAAUUUUCUGGAAAGAAAUACUUUAGAGGGUGAUAGUCCCGUAGAUGAAAUUGAUAUGUUGCUCUUCAAAAGAGUAGGGCUUCCUGGAUUGGAGGUCUGAAUAUGGCAGGAUUAACUGCUAACCCUAAAUAAAACCAAAGUCCGAUAGCGCACUAGUACCGUGAGGGAAAGCUGAAAAGUACUCUUAACAGAGGGUUAAAAGACUUGAAAUCUAAUAGUUACAGUUUGUUACUGGUCUUAACAUUUUAUGUUAAUAGAUUUGUAACGUACGUUUUGAAGAACGGGCCAGGGAGUUUUUCUAUAUGGCGAGGCUAACUAAUUUUAUUAGGUAACCGAAGCAAAAGCAAGUCUGAAAAGGCGUUAGUCAUAUGGAUAAGACCUGAAGCCAGAUGAUCUAUUCAUGGACAAGGUGAAGUCUUUCGAAAGAGAGAUGGAAGCCUGAACCGUUGUUGUGUACAUGCACUCGAAUGAUCUGUGAAUAGGGGUGAAAAGCUUAUCUAAUUUGGCGAUGGCUGGUUCCUGCUGAAAUAUGCCUUCGUAUAGUCUUGUUUAGUUAGUUAACGGUGUAAAGUACGGAUAAAACUCGCAGGAGCUAAUGCUUACGGAGUUUUUUCCAACUCAGAAAUUGUUAAUUGCUUAGAACAAGAAACAGGGUCAGUAUGUAAGAUACUGUUCCGAGAGUGGAAUAACACAGACUAAAGUUAAGGUCCUAAAAUUUAUGCUAAGUGUAUCGAAAGGUGUCUUGAACCUGAGACACUGGGGAUGUAAGCUUAGAAGCAGCUAUCAUUUAAAGAAAUCGUAACAGAUCACCUAUUGAGGUCCAAGGCCCUGAAAAUGGACAGGGCUAAAGCAUAAUACCGAUACUUUAGAGGCACUUAUAAAAGUGUUCUGGUAAGCAGGCGUGUAAAUUGUACAGAAUUUCUUUCUAAAGAAAGAAUGGAACGAUUUGCAAUGAAAAUCCUGGUAAUAGUAGGAUGUGAUUUUUCUGAGAAUGAAAAAUGUCGUAAGAGCAAGGUUUCCUUGGCAAUAUAUGUUAGCCAAGGGUUAGUCAGUACCUAAGUUGUAUCUUAACUGAGUACAACGAUGGACAACAGGUUAAUAUUCCUGUACUAAUUGAAUUUUAUAUAGUAUUAUUUUGCUUUUGGAUAAGUAAGCACUUGAAAGAGUGUUUUAAUAAAGAAAACUGUCAAGGGUAAUCCUUAGACGCAGAUAUAAUUUAUUAAACAAAAUUACUGAUUCCGAGAGCCAGUGAAAAUGUUAUACUCUUAAUUCAGUUGGCUGUACCCAUAACCAGCACUGGUGCUCUAGCUUAAUAGGCUAAGACAUGAAAGGGAAAACCAAUUAAGGGAAUUCGGCAAGUUAGUUCUGUAGCUUCGGCUGAAGGAAUGUCUAUUUUUGUUUUUUCAGAAAUGUAGAUGCAUUAAUAGAUCACAGUAACAAGGACGGCCCGACUGUUUACCAAAAACGUAGCCAAGUGCUAAUCUGAAAAGACGUGUAUACUUGGUGAGACCUGCCCAGUGGUGGUGUCUAAAACUCCUUUUCAAGGGAGCUAAGGUCCAUCAAACGGCGGAGAUAACUAUGAUCUUCUUAAGGUAGCGCAAUACCCUGUCGUAUGAAUUGCGACUUGCAUGAAUGGUUUAACGAGGUUGUCACUGUCCCUAAUUGGAGCCUUCUGAAUAUACUUCGUGGUGAAAAGGCCACGGACGCCUAGUGGGAAGCUGAGACCUUGUGGAACUUUACUGCAACUUGUUGUUGUAAUCUUAAGAGAAAUGCAUAGCAUAAGUAGGAGCGUCGAAGCUGUUAUUUCGGUGACAGUGGAGCAAACAUGUAAUACUACUCAUUUUUUUUAAGAUUGCUUACUCUAUAUGAAGACAGCAGCAGGCGGGCAGUUUGACUGGGGCGGUGCCCUGCCGAAAAAAUAUCGGUAGGACCCAAAGACAAACUCAUCCAGCUUGGAAAUCUGGAGUUGAGUGUGAGGGCAAAAGUUUGUCUAACUGUAUUUUGAACAGCAAGAAAUGCAGAGGAGAAAUCCGGGCCUAGUGAACCCACGUGCUUUUUUAAUAGAAGCCGUGUCUGAUAGAAAAGUUACCCCAAGGAUAAUAAGCUUGUCGCCCCCGAUAGUCCAUAUUGACGGGGCGGUUUGGUGUUUCGCUGUCGGCUCUCCCUAACCUGCGCGUGCAGAAGCGUGCAAGGGUGUCGGAGUUCACGCAUUAAAAGGGAUCGUUAGCUGGGUUAAGAACGUCGUGAGACAGUUUGUAUGAUAUCUACUAGGUGUGUUAUUGUCUGAGUGGAACAAGUUUUUAGUACGAGAGGAACGAAACCUGGGUGCCUCUGGUGAGCAGUUGUCAAUUGGCAGGCUGCAUAGCUACGCACUAAAUGAAUAAGAGCUGAAUGCAUCUAAGCUCGAAGUCAUCCGCAAAACGAGACAAUUAAAGCCGUCAAAGAAGAUGACGUUGAUAGAGUUGUUGUGUAAGAUUCAAGUUUCUGGUGAGGCGAGAAUUUCAGCAUACAACCACUAAAAGCUUCAAUUGUAGUAUU
rnacentral:rRNA from 1 species